rnacentral:rRNA from 1 species
UGCAAGUCGAGCGGAAAGGCCCUUCGGGGUACUCGAGCGGCGAACGGGUGAGUAACACGUGAGCAACCUGCCCCUGACUCUGGGAUAAGCCCGGGAAACUGGGUCUAAUACCGGAUAUGACCGCCCCUGGCAUCGGGUGGUGGUGGAAAGUUUUUCGGUUGGGGAUGGGCUCGCGGCCUAUCAGCUUGUUGGUGGGGUAGUGGCCUACCAAGGCGACGACGGGUAGCCGGCCUGAGAGGGCGACCGGCCACACUGGGACUGAGACACGGCCCAGACUCCUACGGGAGGCAGCAGUGGGGAAUAUUGCGCAAUGGGCGGAAGCCUGACGCAGCGACGCCGCGUGGGGGAUGACGGCCUUCGGGUUGUAAACCUCUUUCAGCAGGGACGAAGUUGACGUGUACCUGCAGAAGAAGCGCCGGCUAACUACGUGCCAGCAGCCGCGGUAAUACGUAGGGCGCAAGCGUUGUCCGGAAUUAUUGGGCGUAAAGAGCUCGUAGGUGGCUGGUCGCGUCUGCCGUGAAAGCCCGCAGCUUAACUGCGGGUCUGCGGUGGAUACGGGCCGGCUAGAGGUAGGUAGGGGCAAGUGGAAUUCCUGGUGUAGCGGUGAAAUGCGCAGAUAUCAGGAGGAACACCUGUGGCGAAUGCGGCUUGCUGGGCCUUACCUGACGCUGAGGAGCGAAA